rnacentral:lncRNA from 1 species
CGUGAUCAUAGCUCAGUGCAGCUUCGAACUGCUGGGGCAUACUCAUCUAAUAACGAGGACAGCAUCUGCAAUUUAGAGAUUCCUGUCCGCAACCUUCAUUGCUCCAACGACAACUUUUGGGUAAGAGUCAUUAGGAUGCCGUCUAUCAUGGAGGAAGCUGAGGCUCAGAGAGGGCCACCAAGUUGCUGGAAGACACAGCACGUGCGACCUCAGGGAGGCUGCAAGGAGAGAAAGCCCCAGUCCGCGAGACUCCCAGCCUCCAGCUUCAGUUUACCCUCCAAUCCCCAAGCCCUCAGGGGCAGGAGCCGAAUGGAGCGGCAGGCUUGGAUUCACCUGCUAAGUGGGGUGAGGUCAAGGGAAUGAAAUAAACCUCGGAGCCUAGAGCCUG